AACCAAGAAAUUAAGUCAUAUUUUUACGGUAAAAAGAUAGUUAGAUAUUAAAGGUUAAAAAGUUUUUGAAUGAUUUAUGAAAAGGUAAAAUUUUAACAUAAAUUUUUAAACCAGUGAUAACUUAAAUGAAAUCGAAUCUAUAAAAAUCUUGAGGGAAACUGGGAUUAGAUACCCCAUUAUUCUUGAUUAUAAAAAAAUAAAAUUUACCAGAGUACUACGAAUAAAAAUAAAAUUUAAAACUCAAAGAGCUUGGCGGUGUCUUAGACCACUUAGGGGAACCUGUCUCAUAAUCGAUAAUCCACGCUAAACCUAACCUUUUUUUGCAUUCAGCUUGUAUACCGUUGUCGUCAGGUAACUUUUAAAAAAAUAUAAGUUAGCUAUAAAUCUUAAAUUAAGACGUCAGAUCAAGGUGCAGCCUAUAUAAAGGAGAGGAUGGGUUACAAUUAAUAUUUAUAACUACGGAUAAUUUAUUUGCAAUAAAUAAUUUGAAGGAGGACUUAAAAGUAAACUGAAUUAUAAAAAUAUUUUGAAUAAGGCUCUGAGAUGUGC
rnacentral:rRNA from 1 species